GGCCAUCAAGCUACAGAGGGUCUUAUGAAUGGAACCCCAAAUGAGCUCAACUAACAACUUCCACCAAGGACCCCUGGACCAACCUACUGGUCCUUUGACUGGCCUAGAGAGUUCCCCUCUGGAGGACACUAACACUGCAGGACCCCUUCUUUGCCCCUAUCCAGCAGUUAGAGUCCUGAAGACUUCAGAGCAAUGUUACUAUAUUACAAGAUUACUAGAAUGACAGCACAUUGGUCACAUGGAGGCAGAGUUGGCAGAGAGUGGCUACUGAUCAGGGGCAUAUUUUACGAGGGGCACUAGCAGACUCGCUCACAUUAGGAUGGAGCCCUGGGGACCAGGACUUGGGUAGGAUGUUUGCCAAGAGUCGACACUGAGAUUCCUGUUCUGAGAAGAUAUCUUUCAAAACAUUUCAAGGCAUUGGAUAUGAGGCAAUGAAGGAUGGUGAUCCCUGAGAGAUGGGAAGCAAACAAGAGUUUCUGAGUCAUGCAGCUUCAGCUACAGUAAACAAAGGAGGAUUCAAAUUGCAUGUCCCUAUUCACCUUUCCUGAAUCACAGUGAUGUUGGAGGUCAUUUCAGAAGUGUUGGUCCCAUGAGCAAUGGAAUGCAUCCACAACUGCCACCACACAACCCCCAGCUUCCUUAUGAAGAAAAUCAACAAACAACUACAAGCAAUUAUUACUGUUUAAUAAUUAUGAACUGUUUAAUCAUUACAAACAAUUAUUUAUUUAUAAGUAAAUCUUACUAUUUAUAAGUAAAUAAAUAAUUUAUUUAUGA